rfam:Aurantimonas manganoxydans SI85-9A1 scf_1099451004081 genomic scaffold, whole genome shotgun sequence.
UCCUGGUCUCCACCGCCGGGAAAACUGAAGAGGCACACCAUCAUUGCCUGAAGUGCGGCGGGUCCAAGCCCUCCAAUCCAUGGCAGACUUUACCCGGCAACGGCGCGUAGCGCUUGCAGCCGGUCAUCGUCGCGUCUCGCAAGGGACCGCUGCGGCAGCCUUCUCGGCGG